rnacentral:rRNA from 1 species
GACGAACGCUGGCGGCGUGCCUAAUACAUGCAAGUUGAGCGCUGAAGGUUGGUACUUGUACCAACUGGAUGAGCAGCGAACGGGUGAGUAACGCGUGGGGAACCUGCCUUUGAGCGGGGGACAACAUUUGGAAACGAAUGCUAAUACCGCAUAAAAACUUUAAACACAAGUUUUAAGUUUGAAAGAUGCAAUUGCAUCACUCAAAGAUGAUCCCGCGUGGGAUUAGCUAGUUGGUGAGGGAAAGGCUCACCAAGGCGAUGAUACAUAGCCGACCUGAGAGGGGGAUCGGCCACAUUGGGACUGAGACACGGCCCAAACUCCUACGGGAGGCAGCAGUAGGGAAUCUUCGGCAAUGGACGAAAGUCUGACCGAGCAACGCCGCGUGAGUGAAGAAGGGUUUCGGAUCGGAAAACUCUGUUGGUAGAGAAGAACGUUGGUGAGAGUGGAAAGCUCAUCAAGUGACGGUAACUACACAGAAAGGGACGGCUAACUACGUG